AGUGAACGCUGGCGGUAGGCCUAACACAUGCAAGUCGAACGGCAGCACAGUAAGAGCUUGCUCUUACGGGUGGCGAGUGGCGGACGGGUGAGGAAUACAUCGGAAUCUACUUUUUCGUGGGGGAUAACGUAGGGAAACUUACGCUAAUACCGCAUACGACCUACGGUUGAAAGCAGGGGAUCUUCUGACCUUGCGCGAUUGAAUGAGCCGAUGUCGGAUUAGCUAGUUGGCGGGGUAAAGGCCCACCAAGGCGACGAUCCGUAGCUGGUCUGAGAGGAUGAUCAGACACACUGGAACAGAGACACGGACCAGACUACAACGGGAGGCAGCAGUGGGGAAUAUUGGACAAUGGGCGAAAGCAUGAAACAGCCAUACCGCGUGAGUGAAGAAGGACUGCGGGUUGUAAAGAACUUUUGUUGGGAAAGAAAAGAAGAAGGUUAAUAACCCGCUGUUCUGACGGUACCCAAAGAAUAAGCACCGGCUAACUUCGUG
rnacentral:rRNA from 1 species